CAGAAAUUCUGCUGUGAGUAGUGGCAAGCGUUGCUUUGUUGAAGCCUCCUGCAAACCCGCAUUGUUUGAUGUCAUUACACACAGAGAAGCUGAAGCCUGGUGUUGCUCCAGCCUAUGAGGUAGAAGUCAAGGCAUCACGAUAAACUCUGAGACAAGCGGCACAACUCCACAGCAUGACAUCGCACACUGAAUGUGGAGUCAUGGGCUCCCUCCAAAGAGAUGUGCCAAAUCGUUUUGCACAGGAAUAAAGUAAAUCAACAUUAAUGACCUCAGCAAGCCAUCAGAAAGUACAUGGUCAAACUGGAACAGGGUCACUGAAUUCCAAGAGGGACUAUUUUCUGUUCACAGUGACGAAAAGGUCAGCUCCCUUGGGGUGGGAUGUAACUCAAGUACUGCCAAGACAACCAUGGGAAUCGCAUCAGUUGGACGAGCGUACUGCACUUGUAACAGAUGAUGACAAAAGCACUUGGGAACAGAUUUUGAACAUCAAUUCUACAUUGUCCUUAUGGGUUUAAAUCACGCAAUUGCUGCUCCAUAUUUUAUGUGUAUUUUUCCAGCAGUUUGUCAGUCCAUUUGUUGAUGCUGUUAAAUGAUAUUACUUUGGAGGUCAGCUACAGAGUCUGUUUUCUGACACAACUCGUAUUUCAGCAUGCCUCUCUGCUUCAGUUAGAAAUAGAAGCCCACUACACCGCUGCACUCAAAACAGCAAAAAGUCUAUCCCAGCUAUGAAAGGUUUGCAUCCAGCAGCACAACACUGGGAACUCAAGGUGGUGGUCAUCUCCCAUGUAUGCAUGAAUGUCCUCUCAUCUCUUUUGAUGUGCUUCUGUCCUACAGGAUCUGCCAACUCCUCUUCUCCCCCCAGGGUUCAGCAGCAGGUAGCUUCCCAACUGCAAGUCAUUGCAGUAAAAGCAUUGGGUCCCAUGCCAACUCACUUAUUCACUACAGCUCCUUAUUACUACACCAGUGGUUCUGCAAGAAGUGGCUCAUAAUGCAGUGCCUCUGAGGAAGUGAGUUCUCUGCUCUGUCCCUAUGUCACAUUGAGGCAUGGGUACUAGAAAACUAGGGCAGCUUACAUUAGACCAUCAUGUAAAUUAAAAAUAGCUCUCACUAUAGUACUGACAGUAGCAUUACUUGCCCUUGAAUGCACAACAUGCAUGUAGUGGUAUUGCAGGAGAGGAAGGCAGUGCACUUUACUGUUCAACUUGCUUCCAUGCAGCUGACUCAGGCAGGUAAGUAAGUGGCAUCCUGCCAUGUACAACCAUCUCCUGAGAUUUGCAGGAGUUUCCUCUGCUAUUGCUACAUUACUGCAAGGAGCAGAAGAAACACACUACCCUUUGCUGAAGGAGUUCUUCAGCAACUUGCUCUUGUUUUGAUUGGCUCCAAACCUGAGAGGACUGGGAAUUUGGAAUCUCAAGAGAAUUUGCUUCUUAAACAUUACUGACACAGUUAACACAGCCUCCAAGUCCCAUAACAAGCCCUCCUUCCCACGUCAUGUUUUCGCAAACAUUUAGCGAUCCUGAAGACCCUACUUGGAUCUCUGCAAAUGUUUAUCAUGCUGCUACGUCACUGCUCUGUGCUGCUGUCCAAGUGCUUGCCUAACGUCUGGUUUCUGGGAGAGCGUGGCUGUUUAUAAAAGCUUUAAAUGAUGCGCGUAGUGAUGAGACACAUCACAUCCAGCACACUAUGUCCAAAGCACUACUAUUAAAAAUAGCCUGGACUGCAUCAGUGCAUUUGUUCUGAUCUAGAGAAUUCAUGUGCUCUCCGGUGCCACUAAUAAAUAAUUGACUGUUUAAUAUAA